UACGAUGACUCCUGGCAACGGUAAUGUUGGCCUUUGCAUCGAUGAAGAACGCAGCAAAAUGUGAUACUUGGUGCGAAUUGCAGAAUCCCGUGAAUCAUCGAGUUUUUGAACGCAAGUUGCGCCUAAGGCCUCCAGGCCAAAGGCACGUCUGCUUGGGUGU
rnacentral:rRNA from 1 species